UUCAGAACGUGUGCUCUUCAGAGUGAAGUUGUUUCCCAGCGCUUAGGUAGUAGCCAUGUGACCGAGUUCUGGCCCUGACGUGGAGAGACAGAAAUGCAGGGUACCUCCAGGCCCCGUCCUCCACACGCUCUUCACUGAUUGGCCAGCCGGGUGCAAAGGGCCCAGCAAAAUAUUCUUUGACACCAAUAGAAAUCACAUUACCGUUAUUCCAGAUAGCUCAAAGUAGCGUCUGUGCUUCACUACUUCAAGAUUACAAUAAUUAUGAGAUUUACCAGAUUAGAUUAAAUGUUGUCAUAUAAUCUAAUAAGGAAGCACACCUGCAACACCAAAUUUUUUAAUAACUUUGAUAACUAUAUUUCAGUGUAAUCCAUUUCCUUGAUAAUACCCUGCGCUUUAUGUAACGCAUUUAAAAACAUUAUUCUGAGAAGAGAUCCGUAUGCUUCACCAAACUGCCGAAUGAGUCAUAGAGCAAAAGAGAGGAGCAAGAGAGAGGUUCAGAACUCGUGAAUUAAAUGGAAAGAGACGGGUCUGUAAAUUAAUAGGAGCCUUCUCUCCACCCUGUCAACACGCACUGAAAAUGACUUGAGCAAGAAAUAAACUUCUGGGCUUCCCU